rnacentral:rRNA from 1 species
GACGAACGCUGGCGGCGUGCCUAAUACAUGCAAGUUGAGCGCUGAAGGUUGGUACUUGUACCCACUGGAUGAGCAGCGAACGGGUGAGUGACGCGUGGGGAAUCUGCCUUUGAGCGGGGGACAACAUUUGGAAACGAAUGCUAAUACCGCAUAAAAACUUUAAACACAAGUUUUAAGUUUGAAAGAUGCAAUUGCAUCACUCAAAGAUGAUCCCGCGUUGUAUUAGCUAGUUGGUGAGGUAAAGGCUCACCAAGGCGAUGAUACAUAGCCGACCUGAGAGGGUGAUCGGCCACAUUGGGACUGAGACACGGCCCAAACUCCUACGGGAGGCAGCAGUAGGGAAUCUUCGGCAAUGGACGAAAGUCUGACCGAGCAACGCCGCGUGAGUGAAGAAGGUUUUCGGAUCGUAAAACUCUGUUGGUAGAGAAGAACGUUGGUGAGAGUGGAAAGCUCAUCAAGUGACGGUAACUACCCAGAAAGGGACGGCUAACUACGUG